rnacentral:rRNA from 1 species
ACGCUCGACACCUACGUGAGGCAGCAGUGGGGAAUAUUGCACAAUGGGGGAAACCCUGAUGCAGCGACGCCGCGUGAGCGAAGAAGUAUUUCGGUAUGUAAAGCUCUAUCAGCAGGGAAGAAACUGACGGUACCUGACUAAGAAGCACCGGCUAAAUACGUGCCAGUAGCCGCGGUAAUCUGAGCGGGCUGGCAAGGC